rnacentral:lncRNA from 1 species
GCAGACCUUAAAAUAUUUUUGACUCUUGGGCUGGGAUUACAGGCGUGAGCCACCGCACCCGGCCUAAUGAGGCAUUAUUGCUUAAAAAUUCACAUCAAGCUGGGCAUGGUGUUGUGCACCUUUAGUCCCAGCUGCUUGGGAGGCUUAGAGGCAGCAGGAUCGCUUGAAGCCAGAAGUUCAAGGCUACAGUAUGCUAUGAUCAUUUCUGUGAAUGGCCACUGCACUUCAGCCUGAGUAACGUAGCAAGACGCUGUCUCCAACAGAAAAUUGACAUCUGAAGCCCUGACUACAGGGGGACUAUACUGGUUUAUGUGAAGUGUGGGGAGAGAGCAGGAUUGUGCUUCUUUGUACACAUUUGCUUCUCCCAGGAUAGUGUCAUAGUGGCUAGGAAGGUGAUGUGUGUGUCAGAUACAAUGAUAGUGAAAAGAAGGGAUUGGAAUUUUCAUAUCUGUGCCAGUCUAAAUGAGCAUUACCUUGUCUGAAUUGUCUAAGUGGUAAGCUUCAUGAUUUGAAACAGUUUUCACUUUGAAAAACUGCUUCCGUGGAUUAAAAGUUGUCACCACUAAAGUGGGCUGUGGUGGAGUCGAUGCUGAUCCUCACUUAGGGCAGUGGCCUCCAAGGGGAAGAGGGCACACAGGAUGGCUGGGUGGGGGUGGGAAGAAAAGAUUAGGCCUUUGAUUUAUAUUCAUUUUGAG